GUGCUCGCUUCGGCAGCACAUAUACUAAAAAAUUGGAACGAUACAGAGAAGAUUAGCAUGGUUCCUUCUCA
rnacentral:snRNA from 1 species